rnacentral:rRNA from 1 species
AGAUGGCGACCGGCGCACGGGUGAGUAACACGUAUCCAACCUGCCGAUAACUCGGGGAUAGCCUUUCGAAAGAAAGAUUAAUACCCGAUGGCAUAAUUAGACCGCAUGGUCUUAUUAUUAAAGAAUUUCGGUUAUCGAUGGGGAUGCGUUCCAUUAGGCAGUUGGUGAGGUAACGGCUCACCAAACCUUCGAUGGAUAGGGGUUCUGAGAGGAAGGUCCCCACAUUGGAACUGAGACACGGUCCAA